rnacentral:hammerhead_ribozyme from 1 species
AUCUAACUGACGAGUCCCAAAUGGGACUAAACUCGCGUCCCGAAU